GAUGAACGCUGACAGAAUGCUUAACACAUGCGAGUCAACUUGAAUUUGGGUUUUUACCUUAGGUUUGGGUGGCGGACGGGUGAGUAACGCGUAAAGAACUUGCCUCACAGCUAGGGACAACAUUUGGAAACGAAUGCUAAUACCUAAUAUUAUGAUAAUAGGGCAUCCUAUAAUUAUGAAAGCUAUAAGCGCUGUGAGAGAGCUUUGCGUCCCAUUAGCUAGUUGGAGAGGUAACGGCUCACCAAGGCGAUGAUGGGUAGCCGGCCUGAGAGGGUGAUCGGCCACAAGGGGACUGAGACACGGCCCGUACUCCUACGGGAGGCAGCAGUGGGGAAUAUUGGACAAUGGACCGAGAGUCUGAUCCAGCAAUUCUGUGUGCACGAUGAAGUUUUUCGGAAUGUAAAGUGCUUUCAGUUGGGAAGAAACAAAUGACGGUACCAACAGAAGAAGUGACGGCUAAAUACGUG
rnacentral:rRNA from 1 species